UAAGCAGCACAAACAGCACGCUGUCAGUUGACAUGAGUCAGUAUUUCUGAGAAGUGGCAGGAUGUUCAGGGGUUUCUUUGUGAAGACGCUUGGCUUUGUCGGUUACACCAUUCAAUAUGGCUGCAUCGCUCACUGCGCCAUUGAGUAUAUUGGUGAAUUCGUGUCGUGCUCAGGACCUUCCAUGGAACCCACCAUCAUUAGCCAUGAUGUUGUUUUCUCAGAGCGAUUAAGCCAUCACCUCUAUCAAAUACAAAAAGGUGAUAUUGUAAUAGCCAAAAGCCCCUUUGAUCCAAAGAUGAAUAUUUGUAAAAGAGUAAUCGGACUGGAGGGGGACAAAGUCUGCACCAGUGGACCAUCUGACAUCUUUAAAACACAUACUUACUGUGGAUCAGGCUUCGCUCGGUUGCCGCCCCAGCCUGGCAGGUCUGUCCAUGGUCUAGACCCACGGAGCAGCUCGCAGAGGCAUUGCCUCACCCCUCACCGAGAGGAUAAAGGCGAUUGGGGGGUGCAUGGCCCAAGCGGUCAGUAAUAAUGAUCCCAUCUGAAAUGAGCAGUGAAUUCAUGUGAACUUUCACACUGCUCGGAGCUUAUCUUAUAAUCACAAACGAAUCUAUAGAUAUUCUUACAAUACGACCCUCUUUCCACCUGGUAUCAGGAUGUGUUUUCGGUGAUCCAGUGAUCACAUGUGGUCAGCCGAGAUGCAUUCCUGUUUCCAUCUGGUAUUACCAUGCAUCUCAAAUGCUUCUUGUGUUCAGAUUUCAAGGGGAGGAUCUCUGAUUUCAUGAUGACAUACAUCCAUCAAUAUAUCCAUCGCGGUGUCAGUGUGUUACCGUAUCAUAUUACACCGCAAAAACAACCUAGUUGCAUAGAAUAAAUGUUACUAUAAUAACAUUUUUGCAAACUGAAUUUUACUUGCCAAAAUCUUCAUUUAGUUGCAGUUUCCUGAUAAAUCCUCAAGUACAACGGAAGAUCACACACUGCUAUGCUAUGAUAUUGAAACACUUUUACCCUAACGCAUCAUUUAAAAAUAUAUAUUUUAACACUUGUAUCACAAACUCACCUACAUUUACACACUUAUUCCAAUCUGAUUAGUUUGCGCAGUAGCUCACCUAGACUCUAAAUUAGGUGGUUUGAGACCAGUUAAGCACGCAAGCUGACACGUGAGACAAAGCAACAUUUUGGGCAGAAUUAUCCAUUAUUUUGUACUAACCUGAAUUUCAGAUGUGUGUGCUUGUCAUCUGUGUCUCUGGAUGUUUUUGUUUUAUUUUCAUAUCAGGAGGUUAUUUCCUUUCAAAGACACACGUAACUGGCAGAGUUUAAACUUGUUUAAUUAGCGCAGCGGUUGAUUGACAGGUGAGGGGUGGCGCUUCACUGUUGACUGGAUUCAGAAAGGAUUGUGUUUCACACCUAAUGUGGUCACUUGUGCUUUUGUGGUUUCAGUGAUCCAAUCACAAAGCAUCUUGGACAACAUCUCCUUCUGUAUUUAACGCUGAUCACUUGCUAUUGGAUCACAAAAACACAUCUUAAUUCCAGGUGAAAAUGGGGUCUAUUAUACUAUCAGUACUAUCAAAUGUAAAUACUACCAUUUCUUAAUGGGGCAAAAGAUAAUUGCACUGCCCAAAUGUACUGAUGGAAUAAUGAACUUGCUCUUGUAAAUUGUUAUUUUUAGUUUGAGGAAUAUUCAUAAUAAAGGUUAUGCACUAAUUUCUAUGAAAUCCAACAUUUUUCUGUUCCUCAUACUGCCGUUAUCUAGGUACCAAGAGGGCAUGUGUGGCUUGAAGGCGAUAACCUUCGGAAUUCCACAGAUUCCCGAAGCUAUGGCCCAAUUCCCUUUGCCUUGAUUCGAGGACGUGUUUGCUUAAAGUUGUGGCCACCACAUAGUUUUGGCGUAUUGGCUG